AAAAGAAAUCAACCGAGAUUCCCCCAGUAGCGGCGAGCGAACGGGGAGGAGCCCAGAGCCUGAAUCAGCAUGUGUGUUAGUGGAAGCGUCUGGAAAGGCGCGCGAUACAGGGUGACAGCCCCGUACACAAAAGCGCAUGUGCUGUGAGCUCGAUGAGUAGGGCGGGACACGUGGUAUCCUGUCUGAAUAUGGGGGGACCAUCCUCCAAGGCUAAAUACUCCUGACUGACCGAUAGUGAACCAGUACCGUGAGGGAAAGGCGAAAAGAACCCCGGCGAGGGGAGUGAAAAAGAACCUGAAACCGUGUACGUACAAGCAGUGGGAGCACCCUUUGGGGUGUGACUGCGUACCUUUUGUAUAAUGGGUCAGCGACUUAUAUUCUGUAGCAAGGUUAACCGAAUAGGGGAGCCGGAGGGAAACCGAGUCUU
rnacentral:rRNA from 1 species